rnacentral:rRNA from 1 species
CCUACGGGGGACAGCAGUGGGGAAUAUUGGGCAAUGGAGGAAACUCUGACCCAGCAACGCCGCGUGAAUGAUGAAGGUCUUCGGAUUGUAAAGUUCUUUUCUAAGGGAAGAAGAAAGUGACGGUACCUUAGGAAUAAGCCUCGGCUAACUACGUGUCAGCAGCCGCGGUAAUACGUAGGAGGCAAGCGUUAUCCGGAAUGACUGGGCGUAAAGGGUGCGUAGGUGGUUCAGCAAGUUAGUAGCGUAAUUCCGGAGCUCAACUUCGGCACUACUACUAAAACUGUUGGACUUGAGUGCAGGAGGGGCAACUGGAAUUUCUAGUGUAGCGGUGGAAUGCGUAGAUAUUAGGAAGAACACCGGUGGCGAAGGCGAGUUGCUGGACUGUAACUGACACUGAGGCACGAAAGCGUGGGGAGCAAACAGGAUUAGAUACCCUAGUAGUC